AGAGUUUGAUCCUGGCUCAGAUUGAACGCUAGCGGGAUGCUUUACACAUGCAAGUCGAACGGCAGCACGAGAGAGCUUGCUCUCUUGGUGGCGAGUGGCGGACGGGUGAGUAAUAUAUCGGAACGUGCCCAGUAGCGGGGGAUAACUACUCGAAAGAGUGGCUAAUACCGCAUACGCCCUACGGGGGAAAGGGGGGGAUCGCAAGACCUCUCACUAUUGGAGCGGCCGAUAUCGGAUUAGCUAGUUGGUGGGGUAAAGGCUCACCAAGGCAACGAUCCGUAGCUGGUUUGAGAGGACGACCAGCCACACUGGGACUGAGACACGGCCCAGACUCCUACGGGAGGCAGCAGUGGGGAAUUUUGGACAAUGGGGGAAACCCUGAUCCAGCCAUCCCGCGUGUAUGAUGAAGGCCUUCGGGUUGUAAAGUACUUUUGGCAGAGAAGAAAAGGCAUCCCCUAAUACGGGAUGCUGCUGACGGUAUCUGCAGAAUAAGCACCGGCUAACUACGUGCCAGCAGCCGCGGUAAUACGUAGGGUGCAAGCGUUAAUCGGAAUUACUGGGCGUAAAGCGUGUGUAGGCGGUUCGGAAAGAAAGAUGUGAAAUCCCAGGGCUCAACCUUGGAACUGCAUUUUUAACUGCCGAGCUAGAGUAUGUCAGAGGGGGGUAGAAUUCCACGUGUAGCAGUGAAAUGCGUAGAUAUGUGGAGGAAUACCGAUGGCGAGGGCAGCCCCCUGGGAUAAUACUGACGCUCAGACACGAAAGCGUGGGGAGCAAACAGGAUUAGAUACCCUGGUAGUCCACGCCCUAAACGAUGUCAACUAGCUGUUGGGGCCGUUAGGCCUUAGUAGCGCAGCUAACGCGUGAAGUUGACCGCCUGGGGAGUACGGUCGCAAGAUUAAAACUCAAAGGAAUUGACGGGGACCCGCACAAGCGGUGGAUGAUGUGGAUUAAUUCGAUGCAACGCGAAAAACCUUACCUACCCUUGACAUGUCUGGAACGCCGAAGAGAUUUGGCAGUACUCGCAAGAGAACCGGAACACAGGUGCUGCAUGGCUGUCGUCAGCUCGUGUCGUGAGAUGUUGGGUUAAGUCCCGCAACGAGCGCAACCCUUGUCAUUAGUUGCUACGCAAGAGCACUCUAAUGAGACUGCCGGUGACAAACCGGAGGAAGGUGGGGAUGACGUCAAGUCCUCAUGGCCCUUAUGGGUAGGGCUUCACACGUCAUACAAUGGUCGGGACAGAGGGUCGCCAACCCGCGAGGGGGAGCCAAUCUCAGAAACCCGAUCGUAGUCCGGAUCGCAGUCUGCAACUCGACUGCGUGAAGUCGGAAUCGCUAGUAAUCGCGGAUCAGAAUGUCGCGGUGAAUACGUUCCCGGGUCUUGCACUCACCGCCCGUCAA
rnacentral:rRNA from 1 species